rnacentral:rRNA from 1 species
UACGUAGGGGGCAAGCGUUGUCCGGAAUCAUUGGGCGUAAAGCGCGUGUAGGCGGCUCGGUAAGUCUGCUCUGAAAGUCCAAGGCUCAACCUUGGGAUGCGGGUGGAUACUGCCGGGCUCGAGUCCGGAAGAGGCGAGUGGAAUUCCUGGUGUAGCGGUGAAAUGCGCAGAUAACAGGAGGAACACCGAUGGCGAAGGCAGGUCUCUGGGCAUUAACUGACGCUGAGGAGCGAAAGCAUGGGGAGCGAACAGG